ACGGGAGGCAGCAGUGGGGGAUAUUGCACAAUGGGGGAAACCCUGAUGCAGCGACGCCGCGUGAGUGAUGAAGUAUUUCGGUAUGUAAAGCUCUAUCAGCAGGGAAGAAAAUGACGGUACCUGACUAAGAAGCACCGGCUAAAUACGUGCCAGCAGCCGCGGUAAUACGUAUGGUGCAAGCGUUAUCCGGAUUUACUGGGUGUAAAGGGAGCGUAGACGGAAUGGCAAGUCUGAAGUGAAAUUAUGGGGCUCAACCCCGUAACUGCUUUGGAAACUGCUGAUCUUGAGUACCGGAGGGGCAGGCGGAAUUCCUGGUGUAGCGGUGAAAUGCGUAGAUAUCAGGAAGAACACCGGUGGCGAAGGCGGCCUGCUGGACGGUAACUGACGUUGAGGCUCGAAAGCGUGGGGAGCAAACAGGAUUAGAUACCCUGGUA
rnacentral:rRNA from 1 species